CUUUGGUACUUCACAUGUCGUCUAAAAAACACUCAAGCAACAAUAGGGUAUGAUGCACAAGUAGCAAUACCUGCAAAUGGAAGUUACAAAAUGCAGUUAUUUGAGCUGAAAAGUCUCCACUCUCCAUAUACAUACAUGGUUGCAGUGCGAGUCAUGCCUCGCGGUAUAACAUUGGUCGAUAAAGAUCACAAAACAAGGCAGUUGCCAAAAGAAAAUCCCAUAUUUCUUGGAAUAGACGGCUUACCAUGGAAGUGUUCCCACAAAUGGUGCUGAUGUAGACACCACUCUUAUAUAAGCUGAAACCAUCAAC